rnacentral:misc_RNA from 1 species
GUAGGUGAACCUGCGGAAGGAUCAUUAACACUCUUGAUUGAGAUUUUCAUUACUACGUUGCGUGAACUCGAUAGUAUCAAGUGGGAAUCCUGCUUUUUAUUUUUUAUUUUAAACGACCCUUUUUAUAAAUUCAACUUGAUCUACUGGUAUUGGAUACUAGAAAAAAAUAAAGAACAACUCAUAACAACGGAUAUCUUGGUUCUCGCAUCGAUGAAGAACGCAGCAUCUGACUGACUCGACAGCUGACAAU